UACGUAGGGGGCAAGCGUUGUCCGGAAUCAUUGGGCGUAAAGAGCGUGUAGGCGGCCCGAUAAGUCCGCUGUGAAAGUCCAGGGCUCAACCCUGGAAUGCCAGUGGAAACUGUCGGGCUGGAGUCCGGAAGAGGCGAGUGGAAUUCCUGGUGUAGCGGUGAAAUGUGCAGAUAUCAGGAGGAACACCAAUGGCGAAGGCAGCUCGCUGGGACGGUACUGACGCUGAGACGCGAAAGCGUGGGGAGCAAACAGG
rnacentral:rRNA from 1 species